rnacentral:rRNA from 1 species
CCUACGGGUGGCAGCAGUGGGGAAUAUUGGGCAAUGGGCGCAAGCCUGACCCAGCAACGCCGCGUGAAGGAAGAAGGCUUUCGGGUUGUAAACUUCUGUUCUCAGGGACGAAGCAAGUGACGGUACCUGAGGAAUAAGCCACGGCUAACUACGGGCCAGCAGCCGCGGUAAUACGUAGGGGGCAAGCGUUAUCCGGAUUUACUGGGUGUAAAGGGUGUGUAGGCGGGAAAGCAAGUCUGAUGUGAAAACCAUGGGCUCAACCUGUGGCCUGCAUUUGAAACUGUGUUUCUUGAGUACUGGAGAGGCAGACGGAAUUCCUAGUGUAGCGGUGAAAUGCGUAGAUAUUAGGAGGAACACCAGUGGCGAAGGCGGUCUGCUGGACCGCAACUGACGCUGAGGCGCGAAAGCGUGGGGAGCAAACAGGAUUAGAUACCCUAGUAGUC